AUUGAACGCUGGCGGCAGGCCUAACACAUGCAAGUCGAACGGUAGCACAGAGAGCUUGCUCUCGGGUGAUGAGUGGCGGACGGGUGAGUAAUGUCUGGGAAACUGCCCGAUGGAGGGGGAUAACUACUGGAAACGGUAGCUAAUACCGCAUAAUGUCGCAGGACCAAAGAGGGGGACCUUCGGGCCUCUUGCCAUCGGAUGUGCCCAGAUGGGAUUAGCUUGUUGGUGAGGUAAUGGCCCACCAAGGCGACGAUCCCUAGCUGGUCUGAGAGGAUGACCAGCCACACUGGAACUGAGACACGGUCCAGACUCCUACGGGAGGCAGCAGUGGGGAAUAUUGCACAAUGGGCGCAAGCCUGAUGCAGCCAUGCCGCGUGUGUGAAGAAGGCCUUCGGGUUGUAAAGCACUUUCAGCGGGGAGGAAGGCGAUACGGUUAAUAACCGUGUUGCUUGACGUUACCCGCAGAAGAAGCACCGGCUAACUCCGUG
rnacentral:rRNA from 1 species